rnacentral:lncRNA from 1 species
UCAUUUAUUUGUUGGCAUAGAGCAUCGCAUCAUAUAGAAGAGUCAUUCAUUUAUAAGAAGAUUGGUUGCCUCAUUUAUUUAUAAGAAGAUUCUUAUAUGUAUUUAGAAUACAUGAUUUUAAUUUGAUCGACUUCUUUGAACUUUUUUGUUGACUAUGAUAUUUCCUUAGGUUCACCUUGACCUUCACUGCCCGUGUAAGAGCUUAAGUCAAUAUAUAUGUUGUAUCAUCAAAAUCCGUAGCUUUGCACAAUUUUUUUGUCUAUACAUACACUUUAAUUUCCGGUUGCCAAAGACCAGCUUCAGCGAGCGGCGUGGCUUCAUAACAAUUGCCGGUGAAAAUAAGCUCACAUCUGAUAAUAUAUUAUAUCUUUGGCUGAAGUUAACGUCAAAGCUUCUACUGGUAAAUAUUAGGGUAAGUUAGGAAGUGAAAAUCCUAAUGAAGUCUUGUUGACCUCAAAUAUUGGCUUUACAAGAAAAGAUUAUUUUUUCGCAAUAAUGUAUACACAAGAAUUUUAGAAACAAAUGUUUCAUUUUUGUUCUCCAUCCGUGGCAACGCACGAGCAUUUUACUAGUU